UACAGAGGUCCCAAGCGUUACUGAGAAUCACUGGGUUUAAAGGGUGCGUAGGUGGCGCGUUAAGUCAGAUGUGAAAUCCCCGGGCUCAACCUGGGAACUGCAUUUGUGACUGUAGAGCUGGAGUGCGGCAGAGGGGGAUGGAAUUCCGCGUGUAGCAGUGAAAUGCGUAGAUAUGCGGAGGAACACCGAUGGCGAAGGCAAUCCCCUGGGCCUGCACUGACGCUCAUGCACGAAAGCGUGGGGAGCAAACAGG
rnacentral:rRNA from 1 species